GACGAACCGUGCGAACGUUAUUCGGAAUCACUGGGCUUAAAGCGCGUGUAGGCGGUUCGGUAAGUCUGCUGUGAAAGUCGGGGGCUCAACCCUCGAAUGCCGGUGGAUACUGUCGGACUAGAGUGCGGAAGAGGCGAGUGGAAUUCCUGGUGUAGCGGUGAAAUGCGCAGAUAUCAGGAGGAACACCAAUUGCGAAGGCAGCUCGCUGGGACGUUUACUGACGCUGAGACGCGAAAGCGUGGGGAGCAAACAGG
rnacentral:rRNA from 1 species